CCCCGGGUUCCCCUGGUUGUUUUCUCACAGCCGAGGAACUGAAUCGGGCAGCUCUCCUUUGAGGAGUGGUGAGCAGUUGUGUGACACAUAUCAAGGAUCCUUGUCGUGACACAGCGAUGCCAAGGUUCGGUCCUCCAGUCUAUCACGCACUAAUCUGCUCGGGUCCCCCCUGAGUCCCAGGCAAGCAAGACACAGCCUCUCUUUGCUUCAGUUGGGACCAACGAUAACACUGUCCUCCGAGGGUCCUAGAGAGUCCCCUCACGAGACCUGGAAGAGUCUUAGGAUGUGUACGGCUGGUAAUCAGCAAUGUUCCCUUUGUUGGGCUCUCCUCUCCUUCAGCCUCAAGUGCAGAGGCUUUGAGAAACCCUAGGCCGACAAUCAUGAACUUGGGUCCUAAGGCUUGAGUAUAAAAACUCUCAUUCUGAGCAUCGUGGAGGAAAGGCCUGCUGUCUCCUCUGUCCUGUUAGAUCUACUCCUAUCUUUCACAGACAGGUUCAGCAUCCCCUCUUGAAGGCAGCUGCAUCCGGAGGAAGCCAGAAGGAGGCACAUGCCGCAUUCUAUCAGCAAGAGGACCAGAACCCUUGGACAGAGCACCAGGAAACAGUGGGAAAAGUGGAGCUAACCAGGAGAGAGAGAACCCCAGGAGCUCCCAUGGGAUGUUCACCCCUUCACAGCCUAGCAGAGCUCCUCACGCUGGUCUAGACCCCCCCCCUCUCCUCCAGGAGACACAGAAGAGCCAGAUGGAAAAGCCACUGACUAAAUUAAAACACACUAAUUGGGCAUUGGAUUUCUGCUGAAAAUGACCCCUCCCAGCGUCACUGGUGAGGUACUGUGUGGGUGUCGGAUGUACGACUAAGAGGAAAUUCUUCCACUCUGUACAAA
rnacentral:sRNA from 1 species